GCGCAUGUGGCGAAAUUGGCAGACGCGCCAGCUUGAGGUGCUGGUGGGGCAACCCAUGGAGGUUCGAGUCCUCUCGUGCGCA
rnacentral:tRNA from 2 species